rnacentral:rRNA from 1 species
AUGGGGAUCGUUCAGUUGGUGCGAGGAUGGUGGAUUUUUGUUGUGCUGAUAUAUUGUUGUAGCCACUACUUCGACGGUGCAUUAUACGUUGACCAAGUCUGUUCCGACCAAGACUACCACCUCCAUGUCUUUGUCGACCAAGUUCCUGUUGGUCAUGGCGACGACUACAUUGUCACAAGAUUGAGUCAGUGGCCUACAAUUGGUCAACAAGGUGCUUUGUGUCUAAUUCUGGUUCCUGAUGUGCUCAUGUUACAAGACCUACAACUGGCUUGGGAUCCAGAUGAGAAGGUCCUUGAUUGGGUUCAGUUUGGAAUGCAAGUUCCUUGGGAUCCCGGUGGUUCAACAUGGAGUCAGGCUUGA